GACGAAGGGGGCUAGCGUUGUUCGGAAUUACUGGGCGUAAAGCGUGUGUAGGUGGUUGUCCAAGUUGGAUGUGAAAGCCUUGAGCUCAACUCAAGAAAUGCAUUCAGGACUGGAUGACUAGAGGACCGGAGAGGAUAGUGGAAUUCCCAGUGUAGUGGUGAAAUACGUAGAUAUUGGGAAGAACACCAGUGGCGAAGGCGGCUAUCUGGACGGUUUCUGACACUAAGACUCGAAAGCGUGGGGAGCAAACAGG
rnacentral:rRNA from 1 species